GCUGAAGCCCUGUGUCCUAGGAGUGGGCUGAAGCACAGUGAGGUGAAGUGAUUUGCAAAGACAAAUAGGGUGGGAGCCUCAUUUUUGCCUCAAGCCUGGGGGUGCGCUGACUUACUAGUCUCCUGCUUCUGGCCUCAGGAGGUAAUUUCUCCCACUGGCUGCUUCCUGGCUUCCUCCUGUUCGGAGGCCGUUGGCAGGUCCUCCGUCUUCAGCAGCUCAUGGUGGGAAGGCUGGGGAGAGGCGAAGGACUCGGUCCCGUGGGUGUUGCUUGAGAGCCGCAGCUGAAUAAUAGGGGUCUCCAAGCCUCUAUAUAAAUCGUGUAGACAAGUUUAAACUAUGAAUCAUUAAGGUAGGAGGGAGGGUACACCAAAUCAAUAAAUAGCAAAGUAAGGGAAAAGCUCUCAUUACACUGAAGUUGAAGCACCAAUUUUGUUGUGUUCGGUCACAGCUGUAAUUGUCUCACUAAUCACUUUAUGGUGGAUUCCCAAAGUGGCCACCUUGGAGAAUGAACAAAGCCCUGUUCUUAUUUUUAAUCAGAGGAACAAGUCAACUAUACCUAACACUUUUUCUUUUUCUUUUCUUAAGUACUUGUUGUUAAAAAAGCCUUCCUGGCCGGGCACGGUGGCUCACACCUGUAAUCCCAGCACUUUGGGAAGCUGAGGCGAGCGGAUCACCUGAGGUCGGGAGUCCGAGGCCAGCCUGACCAACGUGGAGAAAACCUGUCUCUCCUAGGAAAUACAAAAUUAGCUGGGCGUGGUGGCACAUGCCUGUAAUCCCAGCUACCCGAGAGGCUAAGGCAGGAGAAUGGCUUGAACCCAGGAAGUGGAGGUUGCGGAGAGCUGAGAUUGCGCCACUGCACUCCAGCCUGGGCCACAGGAGCAAAACUCCGUCUGAAAAAAAAAAAAAAAAAAAAAAAACCUUCUCAGCAGCUAACCAAGGAAAUGGCACGGACUUUGCUCUUUGGGCUUCAGGUGGGGCUUUUCCCCACGCUGCGGGCCACGAUGGAACAUUGCUGAUGUGUUGUUCAGACCUGGCACCAGGGCAGACCCAGUGGAGAUAGGGACCCCAUCUUUGCAGACCGCGGCUGUGAGAUUCAUGCGGGCUGAUGUCACCCCUUCUCAGAAGGGCCCAGAACUGACAAUGGGAGCUGCUACCCUGAGCCCAUUUCUCACCAGUGAGGAGUGAAGUGGAUAGGAUGGAACACCUGGGAGAAAUCUAGCGUCUGAUUUGAGAGGUCCUGGGAGUCGGCAAGAAGGGCGUGCUUGGCUUGAGGAAGGAUCACGAAAGCAGAAAGGAUUCCGUGAGAGGGAAGACACACAAAAGCUGUGCAGAAGACAGUGGUGAUGGCUGCACAGCAAUGGAAACGCACAUCACGACAUGGAAUUGGACGCUUAGAGAUGGUUAAAAUGGUAAAUUUUACAUUAUGUAUAUUUCACGACAAUGAAACAAAAAGGCUAUACUGGGUCGUAUUGGAAUCUAAGGCAAAAGGAAAAACUAGUAAUACCAAUCCUGUCUGUAGUUAAAGUCUUGAUAUUUUAUUCAAGGAUUUUUUGCAUAAAUUUAGAUUUUUAAAACAUGAUUGUGUUAAAAUUGUA
rnacentral:lncRNA from 1 species